UCGUACAAAAUGUGAGGGGCAUGUGAGGGCUGUCGCUGACUCAAAGUCGUGCACGCCCGAGUGUGUCCUCUCACAUAAUAAUCCAUCUCACCCUUUGUGCAUCGCCGCGUGAGCACCCUUUGGGAUCAUCUCGGAGGGGGCUCGCGUUUUCACACAAACCCCCCUUUUAAAAGUGUAGAAUGACCUCAUUUAUGCGCUAACACGCAAUCAAUAC
rnacentral:misc_RNA from 1 species